rnacentral:lncRNA from 1 species
AGGCAAACGAUCUACCUUGUUUAACCAACAUUUUUUUGAAGCAAGUAAUUUCCUUCGACAAUAAAGAACCAUUACAACCAAUCUUCAAUUCUUCAAAAGUCUCUUUAGUAAACUGAUGUCCAAUUCUCAUUGGAUCUCUUAAAAUUGCUUCUUUUUAUGCUUCUCCCAUUUGUUCCUUAGAAUCUUCUGGUAAUGGUCCGGCAGUAGGCUUUACCUUCUUAUCUGCCGUUUUAUAUCUCGUCUCUACAGUGACUUCUGGUGCUUGAAAAGAUUCAAGUAUGGUAUAAACUUCUCUCAAAUGAAUCUCAACAAUCUUAUCAUUAUCCCCUAACUCAAUAGAUGUAAUCAAUUCCAAUGAAUCUUCCAGUCCAUUUUCUUCAUAAACACCUAAAAUCCUCUCAUCAUCUUGUAAUGUACCUAACUUGCAUAAUUCUCCUUUAAUAUUAUAUAAUCUUUUUCUUUAUUUUCUUUUAAAAUCAUCAACUUUUUUAUACAUAAUAUUUCCAUUCUCCAAAAUACCAAUAAAACUCGCAUCAAAGGCACCUUCAUCUUGCGAGAGUACCUCCUCUUUUGUACCUCCAUAAUCUCGCUUUACAGUGGUACCUCCCUAAAAUCCUUAAAUCCUUUAACAAUCUUUGGUAAUGGUUUCUCCCUCAACCUAUCUCGAUUCCUUUCAUGGUUAGGAGGUACUAUUAGAAAUUGUACAGCUUUCCUCCCAUCUUUGCUACGUACCCUUGCAUAAGUAGAACCAUCGUCAAGUACUUUUGUUUCUAUCCGUGUUGCUGCAAUAUAAGGUUGUCCUAAAAUCAACGGAUAAGACGUCGUAUCUUGAACAAAGAAAUGUUGCUCCGUCGCAACAUCUUCAAUCCAAAUUUUGACAUCUGGACAAGCUCCAUAUAAUUCGUCCCAUGUGUUAUUAGCUGCUUGUAUUGUCCAUCCAUGUUCCAUAUCAAUUGGAUAUUUUUGCUUCUUAUAAAGAUCUUUAGA